CUCUUCUCUCCUUCAGCUCUUUUCACUCCGACGACUCCCCUCCUCCCUCUCUUAACGCCGACAACGACGCCGACGCCGACAUCCCGUCAAAUACCCUCCCUCCUCCCUCUCUUGACGCCGCCGCCGACCCUCCUCCCUCUCUCGACGCCGACGCCGACGUCGACGCCUCCUCUCGAAGACCCUCAUCCUCCCUCUCUCGACGCCGACGCCGACGCCCCGUCGAAGACGCUUCCUCCUCUCUCUCUCGACGCCGACGCAGGCAUACGUUGAUGGCAUCAGAAGGGCAAAUGUUGACAAAUAUGUGAAGGGCUGCCUCAUAUCAGAGAGCAAGAAAUGGUUGUAACUUUUUCUGUUUUAAAACAUGAAAAUGACUCUAAUUUGUGAGAACACCAGUAUGUAACUUUGGAUGAUGUAACUUGGAAGGGUCAUUUGCUGUUUAUUUCCUCUCCUUUAUCUCUAUUUGUGAGAACACCUGGAUGUAAUUUUGGAUGAUGCAACUUGUGGGUGUAUUGGAUUUUCUCUUCCAGUUAUGGGUAUUAUUCUGUUGGGGUUUUUCUUGAUAAAUUAA